rnacentral:lncRNA from 1 species
CAACAGCAAUGUCACAGAUCUUAAUUAUUUUAAUCAUUUAUACCUUGAUACUGUGACAAACCUCUGCAACAGUACUUUUUAAAUAAGGUACUGGUAAGAAUUGGGAACAAUGUUUGGGUACUGUUGCAGUACUUUACAGUAUUUUACACUUAUACAUUGUUCUCUAAGGAGCCUCUUCAUAUAGUUAAGAUGUUGUUAUUUGUGUUUAGAUUUCACAGUUCAUUUUAUUUGGAUAUUAAAUUAUGUAACAUUGUAUGUAUUGCCUGAGUAGUAAAAUUAUCAUACAGUAGUCUCCAUUUAAUCACAUACCUGUUAUUUGCAUAUUCCUGAUUAUUAUACCCACACUUUCUAAAGAAAGUUCAGGUAUAUUGUUUUCGUCUCCGUCUGUCUGUCCGUCUGACUGUCCGUCCGUCCCUUACACUUUCGUGUCCCUGGAUCUCCUCCUUCAUUUUAAGCCAUAGUAAGAUAAUUCUUAUUGCAUAUGAUUGCCCAUCAUCUGCAGAUGUGCAAUAAGGUUUCAGAAUUUCGAUUUUGGUCGAGGAGUCCAAACAAUAGGCCCAAUUGGGUCUAAGUCCUAUUUGAG